AUCUGCAUAUAUUUGAGAUAUAUGAGAUUAGUCAAAUUUGAAUCUCUUCAUAUUUUUUGAAUGUUCAAUUUAGUGUGUAACAUAUUUGAAUAAUUACUAAAGUUAAUAUAUUUUUUCUUUUAGAUGAGAAUUUUAAUGACAGAAUUACUGAUAACCCUUUUUGUAUUAAGGACAGUGGCAUAUUAACACGUCUAUUAAAGAAAACAUGAAAAGUGCCUGAAAUGUACUAUUGAACAACCAGGAGCAGUUAAAACUCAUAUAUGUUACAGGUUUCCUUUGGAUGCCAAGAGCAAAGGUUGCAAUGGAGGUGAAAUAGUGGCUUGCAUUUGAGGAGACUGGAAUUUUGGCCUACUUUUAGAUUGCUGGUCUUCAAACUCCUGACUGAAUCCUUCAGGGAGUGCAUCUUAAAAUAACAGAAACUGUGUUGAAAAUAAACAUGCAUAUGAUACAUAAAAAAAAAACCAAACACUUGUUAAGCAUAUACGUAAACCAGCCUAGUCUUAAAGCACCUAAUUUUCUUCUAUUCCCUCAUCUCCCAAGAAUAGAAAUCCUAUGAUGUUCCUGGUUUUAUCUGUUAAAUUAGAAGUGAGUACACUCAUCGAUGAUAGCUAGCCCACUUGUAUUUGACCACUGAUUUCACACUCAGUAUGUUAAGCUCCUAAAUUUUCAUAAAAGGAUCUUAACCCUUCCCACUCUUUAGUUGUCCAUCAUAGUAUGUGGCAGUAUCCUUCAUCAGUGACACAAGCUAUCUGCACUCCAGAUUCCUGCCAAAGAUUGCAACCAUGAGGCCCUGCUUACUGAAAUAUUUAUCCAAGAAUAGCCCUAAUUUCUAAACAAAAAACCAGGAGACACAGCCUAAUAUGUUACUGAUAGGCAAACUUUGAGAAUCUGUUGUACGAAGUACAUUGUAAAAUGAAAGCAACACACACAAAAAUUUCCUUCACAGACCACAAUCUUAAAGGAGAAUAUACUGAAAAGAACAGAAAAAGUCUGCUCAGGCUGCCAUAACAAAGUACCAC